rnacentral:rRNA from 1 species
AAUGAACGCUGGCGGCGUGCCUAACACAUGCAAGUCGAGCGAAUGGAUUAAGAGCUUGCUCUUAUGAAGUUAGCGGCGGACGGGUGAGUAACACGUGGGUAACCUGCCCAUAAGACUGGGAUAACUCCGGGAAACCGGGGCUAAUACCGGAUAACAUUUUGAACCGCAUGGUUCGAAAUUGAAAGGCGGCUUCGGCUGUCACUUAUGGAUGGACCCGCGUCGCAUUAGCUAGUUGGUGAGGUAACGGCUCACCAAGGCAACGAUGCGUAGCCGACCUGAGAGGGUGAUCGACCACACUGGGACGGAGACACGGCCCAGACUCCUACGGGAGGCAGCAGUAGGGAAUCUUCCGCAAUGGACGAAAGUCUGACGGAGCAACGCCGCGUGAGUGAUGAAGGCUUUCGGGUCGUAAAACUCUGUUGUUAGGGAAGAACAAGUGCUAGUUGAAUAAGCUGACACCUUGACGGUACCUAACCAGAAAGCCACGGCUAACUACGUGCCAGCAGCCGCCGUAA